rnacentral:lncRNA from 1 species
UUCAGAGACAAGUAUUACAUUUAAUAAAGGAAAGGUCAGUUACUCACUUGAAAAGACAUUUGAUAUCAAGAAAACACGAUUGGGAUGAGCAAAAGAUUGGUUGGCUUCACAGUAUGUUGCCACUAGGUUUAAAGAUACGCUGAAUUGCACUGAAAAUUUUAUUAGUGAUACAAGUUAUCAUUUGUCUGAUGAUUCCAAUAAAUUAGCUAAUUUUGAUGACCUGUCUGAGAAAUUUUAUAUGACCUUGUGUUUAGAAGACCAGCUCAUGAAGGAAUUUGUUUAAUGGCUAGUUAGUAUUGAUGGGGGGGUGUAAGCCAAUAAGAAGUGCAAUUAAACACAAAGGUAUAAUUCUAGGCAUUGUACAACAUGAAAAUGAAUCUGAGUUUAGUUACAGUAAUCUUGGUUGUCAUUCAUUUUUAUGUUCAUGAAUGAUAAAGUUAAAUAACAAGAACAAAAAGCCUGGUACAGUUAGAACAUAUCUAGGAUCUGUUAAACAUUUUCUUGACUUUUGUAUUGUCAAAUAAAAGUUAGACAUAAUUACAACUGAAAAACAUACAAAAAUAAAAACCCAAAUUUCAAAAUGGGCACAAACUUUAUGGAAAUCUAUACAAGAACAACGAUAUGAAAAAGAUCAAAAUGAUUUUGAACAUUUUCCAUCUGCUGAAGAAAUUCUUAUAUUAGUUACUUCAGAAGUUGUUUGUGAAGCAAACAAAGUUAUUAAUAAGAGCAAUGUUCUUAAACCCACAAAAGCUAAAUUUUGUCUAGCUCGGGAUUAUUUAGUAACAUGUAUUAUAUUUGACAAUGCCUCUCGUCCCGGUGCAAUAUGCAAUAUGACAUUAAAUGAGUUUAAAAAUGCCUCUGAAAAAAAAGGUUGUUUCACUGUAAGUGUGAUGAAACAUAAAACUAGCUAUACAGGACCAGCUGAUAUUGUAUUAACUCACUCUUUAUAUAUGAAAGUUGAGAAGUACAUAACAUUUAUGCGUAAUAUGUUUGAAGGGGUAUCCAAAGAUAUCAGUUCUUGUGUAUUUUUAUGCUGGAAUGGGAGUUUAAUAUACAUGCUUUUUGCAUAAUUUUCAUCUUUUUGGCAAAAAGGUACCGGUAAAACUUGUCUAACUCCAACCGUUCUCAGAAAAUAUACAACAACUUUGGUUCAUGAAAAGUAUCCAGAGAUGAAACAAAAUACUGCUAAUUUGUUGUGCCACAAUUUAAAAACAGCUGAGUAAUCUUAUGCCAUUACUAUACAUGCUUUCUGCAUAAUUUUCAUCUUUUUGGCAAAAAGGUACCGGUAAAACUUGUCUAACUCCAACCGUUCUCAGAAAAUAUACGACAACUUUGGUUCAUGAAAAGUAUCCAGAGAUGAAACAAAAUACUGCUAAUUUGUUGUGCCACAAUUUAAAAACAGCUGAGUAAUCUUAUGCAAUUAUUGAUAAGAAAAUUAAUGCUGUAGAAACAAGUACAAAGCUUAGAGAAGUUGUGAGAGGAACAGCAGUUUCAGAAGAUCAAGCAUGUACAUUAAGCUUGAUUUUUGAAGCUGAAAUUUGUAGUGGUACUAUAACAACUUCUGAUAUCAGGGAAAAAUUUACUUAGUACUUACUUGGUGAUGCAUCUGGCUCAAAAAAAGUUAAAAAAGUGUUAGAUAACGUCCGUUAUCUAAUUAAAAAAAAUAAAGCUUCAGAUGAUGAUUCCGAUUUUGUUUGUUUAGAUUCAAAAGUCAAAUAUAAAAAAGAUGGUGGCCGGUCUGCUGGGCGGGGUGGGGUUCUGGCGGGUUCUUCCAUUUCAUCUUUAAAUUCUUUUAAACGAAAUCAAAAGGAGUUUAGCCAAGAUGACUUAUUGUUAGUUGAUUUGUAUUUAAAGGAAUUUAUUGUUUCAAAACAACCUUGGAUUAAAAAUGUGAAAGCACAUUUCGAGUCUGUGCCUGAGUACAAGCAGUUGUUAGAAAGAUUUGGUCUCAAGUCCUUGAUUGUAAAAAUUCGUACUGAAAAAGGAAAAUUGUAGUAUGUUCUAUUUCUAGGAUAACUUUUUUGUUGUUUUUA